UUUACAAUUCUUCCCAUAAGGCCUGCACCCCUGAGUCUUCUCUUUACUGUUGUACAUGAAACUGGUGUUGAGCGUGUAGAAUUCAAUGAAGCUGUCGGCUGAGGACAUGUGAGGUGCCUAUUUCUCAAACUAGAGACUCUGAUGUACUUAUCCUCUUGUUUAGUUAUAUAUAUUUAUUUAUUUUAUAUAAAAAAAAAAAUCAAAACAAAAUCUGGGUCUCAAUGAGACACUUACAAAGGAAGUGAAUGGAGCCAAUCUGUAAACGUUAAAAUACUAACUAUUUCAAAAGUAUAGCCACAAUAUGUAAAGAAUAUGCGUGUUAACGUGAUUUUAGUGUGAUAUAAUAAAUUAAUAACAUUUUCUGUGUACAGUUUUGUACAAAUAUUGCAACUUUGUUGCUAUAAAGACUUUAACACCAUAAAACGUAAAAUUAUAUAACUACAUAACUUCAAUUUAGAAACGUUACACCUUGAAUAAUACUCAAGUUUCAACAAACAUUUUAAAAUAAGUGCUUUAAAACACACACACACACACACACACACACACACACACACACACACACACACACACACACACACACACACACACACACACACACACACACAUGUUGUGUUUCCAUGUUUUAUGGGGACUUUCCAUAGAUAUAAUGGUUUUUAUACUGUACAAACUUUAUAUUCUAUCCCCUAAACCUAACCCUACCCCUAAACCUAACCCUCACAGAAAACUUUCUGCAUUUUUACAUUUUCAAAAAACAUAAUUUAGUAUGAUUUAUAAGCUGUUUUCCUCAUGGGGACCGACAAAAUGUCCCCACAAGGUCAAAAAUUUCGGGUUUUACUAUCCUUAUGGGGACAUUUGGUACCCACCAAGUGAUAAAUACACGCACACACACACACACACACACACACACACACACACACACACACACACACACACACACACACACACACACACAUACAGUGACAUUUCUUUGUUUUCACAUAAGAGCUUAUAUAUCAUUGUGUGAUACAAUGUACUGUAUAUCA